UACGUAGGGGGCAAGCGUUGUCCGGAAUUAUUGGGCGUAAAGAGCGUGUAGGCGGCCAGAUAAGUCCGCUGUGAAAUCUCGAGGCUCAACUUCGAGCUGUCGGUGGAAACUAUCUGGCUAGAGUCCGGAAGAGGAGAAUGGAAUUCCCGGUGUAGCGGUGAAAUGCGCAGAUAUCAGGAGGAACACCGGUGGCGAAGGCGGGUCUCUGGGCCGAUACUGACGCUGAGGAGCGAAAGCGUGGGGAGCGAACAGG
rnacentral:rRNA from 1 species